AUGGCACGGGGUUUCCCAUCUACAUGGGUAUCCUGGAUCAGGACUCUCCUCAUCUCCAGCAAAACUGCUAUUCCUCUCAAUGGUAUCCCCGCCUACCUCUUUAUCAUUGUGAACGACCUGCUGCAGCGUAUGAUCCUGCAGGCUUUCAAACCAAAUGAUUUCUGCCACCUGAUCUACCCUGACCGCGCUCCAACUGUUCUGCAAUAUGCUGAUGACACUCUUAUCAUUGCUCAGGCCUCGGCCUCGGCCACCACGAAUCUAAAAUCCAUCUUGGAUGACUUCGCCUUGGCUACGGGCCUAUCCAUCAACUCCACAAAACAAAUUUCCUUCCCAUCCAUACCGCACCGACGCUUGCUCAAAAUACCGCACAAACAUUUGGCCACGACCUUUCCCGCUUUCUCCAGAUUUACCUGGGACUCCCCCUUGUCUCACACUCGCCUCCCCUCAUAUGCCUUCGAACAGCUAGUACAACGCUUUCUAAAGUACCUCGCCGGAUGGGCCGCCUGCCUGCUCUCUCGGGGUGGCCGCCUAACCCUAAUCUCCGCCACACUUGACGCUCUUGCCACUCACUUCAUGUCUGUCUUCAAACUCCCUAAGAAAAUUAUCAAACGUUUAGACACGAUUCGCUAG
rnacentral:rRNA from 1 species